rnacentral:rRNA from 1 species
GACGUAGGGCGCGAGCGUUGUCCGGAUUUAUUGGGCGUAAAGAGCUCGUAGGCGGUUUGUCGCGUCGUCCGUGAAAACUCACAGCUUAACUGUGAGCUUGCGGUCGAUACGGGCAGGCUAGAGUUCGGUAGGGGAGACUGGAAUUCCUGGUGUAGCGGUGAAAUGCGCAGAUAUCGGGAGGAACACCGGUGGCGAAGGCGGUUCUCUGGGCCUGUACUGACGCUGAGGAGCGAAAGCGUGGGGAGCGAACAGG